CUGGUGCUUAAAGCUAGUGUGGGAGAUAAGUGUUUCCAGUUUCAGAUAUUUUUGUAGUUCGUUCCAGUCAUUGGCAGCAGAGAACUGGAAGGAGUGGUGGCCAAAGGAGGAAUUGGCUACCUUGAAUUUCUACCUUGAAGUAGAGCCGUGGCUUUCGUGGAGCGAUGGGUAAUACUGCUUCGAGGGUGGCUGUUGUCAAUGUGUGCAGAGGGUCCCUGGGGCGAGGAGAGGGACGGAAGCAAACCAUUUUAAUCAGGAGAAUCUCCUCUUUGUAAUCAUAGAGCGAGCUGAUCAAGGGGUCGAAAAUGUAGAUAUUGCCAGAUGUUCACUGUCCGAGGAUCAGGCCGUGGAAGCUUUUUUGCUGGCAAAGUGUCCAUAACCAGAGGUUAUACCAGCUGUUUUGGUGAACCCCUCCCGCCUCUGAACUGGCUGACACAGAGGCCACAGCAUGUCA